rnacentral:rRNA from 1 species
UACGUAGGGUGCGAGCGUUAAUCGGAAUUACUGGGCGUAAAGGGUGCGCAGGCGGUCCUGCAAGUCAGGCGUGAAAUCCCCGGGCUUAACCUGGGAAUGGCACUUGAAACUACGGGACUGGAGUAUGGCAGAGGGAGGUGGAAUUCCACGUGUAGCGGUGAAAUGCGUAGAGAUGUGGAGGAACACCGAUGGCGAGGGCAGCCUCCUGGGCCAAUACUGACGCUCAUGCACGAAAGCGUGGGGAGCAAACAGG